AAAAGUUUGCUGACCUCCUGAAAGACCCUUAUGCUACUCAGGGACUCCGUUUGACUGUCUCACCUGUGAAUUUCUCCGUGAUGGAUUCUAGUCCAGCAUCUGUUUCCCAAAAUACCUUUUACCAGCUGCGUGUGGAAAGGAGAGUAUUUGAACUGUGCCUACCAUGACUCAAGAAGUGAGCUUUAAGUUUUAUUGAAUUGCUGAUUUGGGAUUGAGUUUGCAUGUCCUGCGAAUCCGUUACUAUCAUGAAGAAUAAUCCUUUGGGCCGAAUAUGCACCAAAUUCUGGAAAGCUGAGAUUUUCUUGUUGUGACUUUGCUGGUAUGUCAAAGACACAAAUUAAUAUAAUUAGAAAGUGAAAGUGAAAGUUGCUCAGUCGUGUCCGACUCCCGCAACCCCGUGGACUAUACAUUCCAUGGAAUUCUCCAGGCCAGAAUACUGGAGUGGGUAGCCUUUCCCUUCUCCAGGGGAUCUUCCCCACCCAGGGAUUGAACGCAGGUCUCCCACAUUACAGGCAGAUUCUUUACCAGCUGAGCCACAAGGGAAGCCCAAGACAUCUUAUGUACCCAGGCCAGGUGGGUUCAUGUCUCAAGUCAUUGGAGGUCCGAUUGGACAAAUCUCAACUAUUAUCAUAGUCAGCAAACAUUUAAAAAUAAGUCUGCCCUUUCUGUGGCCUUGGUUUUCUUUGAGAACAUUAUCAUGGUUUAAUUCAAGUAUGAGUAACUAAUGAGAUAGAACCUGCAGGGUUUUUUUGUUUUUUUUUUUUUUCCCUCCAAACUCCAGAAGAUUUGCCAGAAGUUAAUCUUCUCAAGAGGAAAUCAAGAAUGGCUCCCUGCAGGUAAUUCAGUGUGUGGAGCAGAAGUGAAAAGAUGAGUUGAAAUGAAGCACAAAAUAAGAAACCGUGGAUUCCUGAAAACCAAGCCUCAGGAGAGGGAAACCCAGCCCCAGCGACCUGCAGAAGUACGUGGCUUUGACUUCCGUCCUGUUGAGUGGCGCGGGUCCGUCGGAAGCUGCAAGGACACCCCUGAGGUAUUCUGGCUCCGACAGGGUCUUCCUCCCCUCAGCUCUCCGGAAAAUUUCAUAUUCUGGGCACCUCCUCUUUGGACAAGGGCGUCUUGUGUCUUCCAGUCCAGCUGGAGAGCCUGGCAGGCAAACAGCACAGGCCAUUCAGUCCCAGAGCGGCUUUACGUACGCGCGGCCGAAGCCAAGGCCGAAGCGUGUUCGUUGUCCCGGACGUGCUGGUUCACAGGCAGCCUGGUGAGUUCAGACGCGACGACUGGGUACACGAAAGGUGGGAUGGGGACACGUGUUUCCCAUCAGUACAUCCGCCCCUGCUCACACCGCUACCUCUCCAUUCCACCAUCCAGAUGGAUGUUGCCUGGGAUGAUCUGUCUUUCGUCCAGCUGGAGCUCUCCCAGCGGGCCAGCGGUGGCGUCACCCACGCGGGUGGUCCCGCUGGGUCUCAGCUGGGGCUGGGGCCACUGCCAGUCUCAAAACAGACCCUCUGCGCCAACUCCCAGGCUCCCCAGGCGGCCUCCACGGACUGGCACACCCCCGCGCCCCUCCAAUUGCAGAAGAAACUCCUAA
ensembl:lincRNA